rnacentral:ncRNA from 1 species
UUGACUAGGGUGGUAUACCUGUCAAAUGGUAAUGCAGGUGUCCUAAGGCAAGCUCAGGGAGGACAGAAACCUCCCAUGGAGCAGAAGGGCAAAAGCUCGCUUGAUCUUGAUUUUCAGUACGAAUACAGACCGUGAAAGUGGGGCCUCAUGAUCCUUCUGACCUUUGGAGUUUUGAGCAGGAG